CGUCGAUCGCGCAACAGAGCGAUGUAGAGAGAUUAACUGCACCAAGUGAGCUAAAAGGUCAAAAUUUAGAAAUAUUGGUUAAUUUGGAGGAGGGAGACUUGUUGAAAACUCUGAUGUCAAGUUAAAUUUUAGAAAUAUUGGUUAAUUUGGAGGAGGGAGAUCUGUUGAAAACUCUGAAGUCAAGGGGUGAAGCGUUGCGUGACGACAAAGGGAGACUAUGCAGGCUUGAUACCCUGCGGAGAUUCCUGAUGAUGAAAACACGAGUAAAAUACUCGGUCAACCCUGUGCAAUCACUUACAAGUGGCCGAAGCAAGGAAAAAAGUAUGGGCAUUCACGGUU